AACCUGCCAAAACAGACAACACUUCAGGUAAACAUUCGCCUUCAUCGCGUCGUCUUGUCAAAACCAAACUGAGACAAUUCAGACGAGCACCGAGCUCGUAACUGAUGAUUAAUCCUUUGACCUCAGAAUCUGGACGUUUCGUCCACUGCUCCUCAAACGGAUUCGCUUCACUGACAUCAGUUCUCAUUCCGAUCGACACCAUCAGCUUCCUGUCAGCUGAUCCAUCACUUGUUUGAUGGAGCAUUAAACUCAACUUUAGCCUUUCAUGGCAGCUCAGCAGAAUUCUGGACUUCGCCGGUUCAUGCAGCGUUCAGACGAGGCUGUUAGCAGCUCAGAGCAGCUGCUUGUUUUUCACUCGACUGGGUUGAAAUUUGUGUUUAACAUCGAACAAAUGAAGGAUAAAUGACAACAUCUCUUCACGGAAAAAGUUCUGGUGAGUGUGAACGGUAAUCGAUUUAUUAAAGUAAAUCAGUUUGACCCGAGUUUCCACUAGUUUUCACUUUAUGGGAACCUUACUGACCCCAAAGAGUGCAGGUCCUCUUUAACGUAUUCUGACAGACUUUGGCUGGCCGAAUUUGAAAAGGCCCAGCUUGUGUAGCUUUGGUUGGCCGCACACCAGAUGGUCCUGGUCUCCGUGUUGCUGGGGGACUAAAUAUUCUUCUUUCAUCCUGACGUUGACCACUUAUAUCGAGAAAGUCCCUGACCUGAACCAAGUGGUCCUGGGUGAGCCGGUAAAACUAACCCCACACAGUGACCGAAGGAGUAGAGCAGAUUUUCAGAACACGUUUCAGUCUUCAGUCAGCUGACGAAGACUCUGAUAGAACGACCGGUUUCCUCAGCCGACCACAACUCGCACGAGCAGCAGCUGCACCAGGGACACAGUGUGAACACCUGGUCAGGCCACAUUAUGGGAUGGACUGAGACAGGAAGCUGCAGCAGCUGAGAGAGGACAAACUACUGACCUGCUGCUGAGAAGAACAGCCAGACUCCUCUGAUGGUUUAGAGUCUGGAGGUCUCUGAUCCUCUGCAGGUCUGACAGUCUGGUCUCUGGACGCCUCUGGAGGGCUCUGAUCCUCUGCAGGUUUGACAGUCUGGUCUCCGGAUGCCUCUGGAGGUCUCUGAUCCUCUGCAGGUUUGACAGUCUGGUCCACGGACAUCCGUGGAGGUCUCUGAUCCUCCAGAGUUCUGACUGUUUGACCAGCCAAUAUGGAGCUGCAGUCAGACGCAGGAGACGAGCUGGAAGAGACGGUUUUGAUCCAAAAUGAUUUAACUGGACAUAAAAAUCUCAAAGUCUGAGUGAUGCGUUUGAGGGGGUCGGGUCUCUACCUGCUGCUCUGCUCA